rnacentral:lncRNA from 1 species
CUAUCGGAGCAGAUGUUGUAAGGUGUAAAUGGGGGGAUUUAUGUAUUCAAAUGAAAGAACAAAGACGGGACAUCUCAAGGCAGGAUGUGUGCAAUGAAUGGCUCUGACGCUAAUGAGCCCAGUAGAAUGGCAAUUACCUGCUUUUUAAGCUUAUUCAACAAACAUUUCUUGAGCUUUUUACCUGUGCCAAGCACUUCAUGGGAGAAUAUCUGGCAAAUAAAUGAAAAAUUAGAACUGGUAAGGCCUUCUGAAGUCAGAAAGAAGAGGGAAAAUGUAAAAGACACAAGGGGUUUGGAAAAGGACUAAAACUUGGAGUGAGUGGCCACUGUGAGAAAUGAUUGUAUAGUGAAAUUCCCUCGUGAGUCCCUGGACUCACCAGCUCAAUCAGGCCAUCCUGUGACUUCUGUGGAGGUAGGGGGUGGACCAGUCGGUCCUGGAGUCAGCCUGCCUGAGGUGACAUCUCAGAUCUGUCACUACAACUAUGCAACUUUGGUUGGAUUCCUUCAUCUCCGCCCCUGAAUUCCGCAUCUGUACGGUGAGGUUAAUAACAGUACCUCACGAAAUUAUUGCUAAAAAUUAAUAAAACCGUUCAUGUAGAGCAUUCUGCACAGUGUCUUGUGCUCAUAACUGUGCUUGGAUAGCUUUACACGUGCUCUGCAACAGUGGACAUGCUGUUUUUGAGCAGAGAGCCCUGGAGAAGGGGAAAGGGGUGCCUGUCCUUGGGAUGUAGUCUUUUCAAACACCCUGCUCCCCACCCCCCACCCCGCAUUCCCUAGGGGAUGAGAAUGGAAAAACCAUCCAGCACAGCAGCGUGAGGGACAAAGCUGAGACGUAGUCUCUUUGGAGCCGUUCAUUUCACACAGACAUCCAGAGAGACAUGCAAUUUCUUUUCUCUGAAGUUUAUAGCUUAUGGAGUGUCUUAGCUCCUGAUCGACUGCAGGUACCUUCUGGGUGAGACUGGAGCAAUUUUCUCAAUUUUUGCUUAAUAAGAAUAAUUCACUCUAAGUGCCAAGUCUGCAUAAAUAGUUUCUGACAGAUGAAACCAUUUAUAAAUCCUCAGGAGCUUUUUAUGAACCUUGAAAAAAACCUUUACACUUACUAUCUGUAUGCCCCGAGGGCCUGGUAUGCAGGAAGCGCUCUCUGAAGAACAAAGGCAGGAGAUUUCUUUUCUUUUUAAAGGCGUAAUUGUGCAGCACGACCAAGGCUUCCUCUAACUCCAAACCUUCAAAAAUCCUGCUCACUUUUAACAUAAAUGCACUAACAAGAGCAGGAAUCAGCCAGAUUCAGAGGAAUUCCAUGUCAGCACUGCUGGGUCCUUGAAUGACAGGUAACAAAUGGCUUUUCUGCCUUUUCUUUCACCCUUGUAAACCCUGGCUUAUCUGAACUCUUGUCCUUGUCUUUUCUGGCCUUUGAGGAUAACAAAGCAGCUGUGUGUUAAGAGAAGGUAAAACAGCCUUUAAAGGGUUAUUCUGGCUUUCAUAAGCUCCAAAUAAGGCUGAAGUAAAGAAAAGUGACUUAACUUGUCCCAAAUGACAGCAUAUUCUGUCAAGGGAGCAGAAGAGCUUAUUUGGAGUUUUUCCUUCUCCUUAUAACUGUAAUGUAAGAAAUGCAUCCACCUGUAACUCUCAUCUGACAUACCAAAGCCACUUGAUAGAAAGGGUGUUCACCUCCUCCCCUAUCUUCUUAGCUGGACACUUGGCUUUCUAGCUUCUUGCUCAUCUUAUUCCAUCUUCUUGACGUCCAUGCGUGUGAGCCAUGUAGAAUACAGGAGGAUGUCUUUGUACUUUUUAGUUUGUGUGUCAAUUAACUUAAUACAGGCCCUGGGGGAAAAAACCUUCCAGAGACAAGGUGCUGAGAAACAAUUUUCCAUGAGUCUCUCACAUUGUUAUACAUCUUACACAAAAGAUACAGACUGACCUUUCUUCUGGACCAUCUUUCUAAGGAUGUCUAUAUAGAGUGGACUGCUUGGGAAAUAGAGCAUCUUCUGCUAGGCUAAAACACAGGCAUGCUCCCUGCCAUCAUAAAAGAUUCAGGCUCCCCGAGUUCACGAUUCCCCUCCUGUGGUGUAGCCUACUGCAUGGGAUUAGUACGGUUUUCCCUCCAGUGCUCUGAGGUUCAGUGACUGGCAUAGAAAUGUUACUGCUCUUGCUGCAUGUAAUAAACAUUCUGUGUCUCUGAUCCAGAAGUCCUGUGUCAUCUGCCAGCCGGUAUGAAACUGCAGCAAGCUGAUUUACUUUUAUGUAAGUUAAGAUGUCAGACCCUUCUCAGUUCUUGACACACAGUUCCAAGUUUAAAAAGAUCCCAAGAGAUUUACUGGUGAACAAAACCCCUGACAAGGAUUCUUUUAUAAAAUAAUUAAUUUUUUUUUAUACAAUUUUUUUUUUUUUGUCUUUUGUCUUUUUAGGGUCACACCCAUGGCACAUGGAGGUUCCCAGGCUAGGGGUCAAAUUGGAGCUACAGCUGCUGGCCUAUACCACAGCCACAGCAACGUGGGAUCAGAGCUGUGUCUGCAGCCUACACCACAGCUCAUGACAACGCUGGAUCCCUAACCCAAGGAGAGAGGCCAGGGAUCAAACCCACGUCCUCAUGGAUACUAGUUGAGUUGUUAACUGCUGAGCCGAUGACAGGAACUCCUAUAUUUUUUAUACAAUUAUUAAAGGUUGCUUUCCAUUUACAGUUCUUAAAAAAUAUUGACUUUAUUUAUUUAUUUUGGGGGGGUCACACCUGCAGCAUAUGGCAGUUCCUAGGCUAGGGGUCGAACUGGAGCUAAAGCUGUUGACCUACACCACAGCCACAGCAACUUGAGAUCUGAGCCAUGUCUGUGACCUAUACGACAGCUCAUAGCAAUGCUGGAUCCUUAACCCACUGAGUGGGGGCCAGGGAUUGAACCCACAACCUCGUGGAUACUAAUCAGGUUUGUUACCACUGAGCCACAACAGGAACUCCAAAAAAUAUUGGCCUUAUUCCCCCUGUUAUAUCCUUGAGCUUACCUUACACUCAUAGUUUGUACCUCCUACUCCCCCAGUCCAGUAUUGCCCCUCCCUCCACUGGUAACCUAAUGUUCUGUUGCUUUUCUGUUAUGUUCACUAGAAUGUUUUAUGUUUAAAUUCCACAUAUAAGCGGUAUCAUGCAGACUUCUGACAAGGAUUCUUAAUGUGUUGACCACUGCGGUGCUGUGCCAAACUACUCAGUGCUUUCUCACAUACUCAGAAAUUCAUGCUUUCUGUGUGUAACAAUAGCUUCACAUAAUUAGCAUUCUCCUUAGAUCACUGUUUCGAAAACUUCUUAAAAAUUGGCAAAGCAUUUAGAGCAUUUUCAGAGCAUUUUAGAUAACUUUCAGAGCACUUUGUAAAUAUUAUCAGAACUUUGACAAGCACUAAGGAAUGAGUUCCCGGAAGUGGCUUGGACAACUUGUUUGUGAUCAGCAAAAACAUAAAAAGUAUCUCUGUUCCCGCUGUAUAGAUGGGCUCAGUCAUUUGGACCCUUUCAUUUUUUUCAAAUUAUUUUACGCCUUAACUUAAAAAAAUAUAUUUCACAGAGGUGAGCAAGGCAGGCACACUCCUGCCUUUAUGGAAUUUGUAGGUUAAUGGGAAAUAAAAUAUUUAUAUAAAAUUCUUUAGUAGGCCAUAAGUACUAUAAAUGAAAGAAAUACUACAAAGCGCUAUGAAGCAUGAUAAGAUAUUUCAUAGGGAUUAUUUUUCUUUCAAAUUUUGAAAUUAGAAAAUAACUGCAUUACAAAACUACAGAAACUUGGGAACAAUGGAGAUUCUCCCCGCCCCCCUUUUUUUGCAUUGGAUCUUGCAGACAAACAACUUCUAUAUUCUUUAAAAUUUUACCCCCCCAAAGUAACAUUUCCCCCAGGAUAAAGUGGAUUUGGGGGAAGUGCCAUGAUUUCCUUUUCAGGAAAAAGACACUGUUCUAUUGACAAGCUUGGAGGCUUAGUUGAACUUUGCUGGCCAUUAUGUAGAAAUCAGAAGCUUGAAGGAGCAUGAGAAUAAAAGAGGCGCUUUGCUUCUCAAAACAGUAAGGUCGCCAUAAGACGUGAAAUCAUUUUCUCACUUUUCCCAGCAAUGUUUUAUAACUACAUUUAGGUGACUUCGGCCUGUGAUGAUAAGCACCUAAUCUGUUAGGUUUUAAAUUAAGUCAUUUGAAAAUAGGAAAAGAGAAACAGAUAUAAAACAUUGUUAGCUAUAAGCGUUUUCAAUUAAAAUUUUGGAAAAACACAAAUUAUAGAUUUUUCUAGGCAACUCUUACCUUCAUUAGUUGACAGGCUGAUUUGAGCACAAAGGUUGCAAUACAGCAAGAUCACCUGGUAUUUGAGAGCUGUACGGAAAGGUCUAUGUGUCAUACCUAUGUCUCUGUCUCUUUUUCUGUUUGCGUGUGAUAUAUAUUUAUCGCCCUAGUUUUCUGAAUAAUUCAAACAUUAUGUUUUGGUUUGUGAAUUAUUCUAAAUAAUGCCAAUAAUUGGUUAAAAUCUGUACUUUUGCCUAGUGUUGGCAAAGUUUAAUCACAAAAUUCAAAAGAUAAAAGCCAUUUUUUAAGUGGAAAUGAAGAAAGCAUGGGAGGGGGAAGGACUAAGGAAUGGUUAAAACAAGAAGGUAUUACUUUGUCUAUAUAGAUUAAAGGAACCUAAACCCACCGAAUUUCUUCUUUUAAGGUGAUGCCAGAAAAGAAUUUAUUUUUCUUUGUAGUAAUUCUAGGACUUGAAAUAACUUACCUACUAAAUUAGUUACUUCAUGGGAAAGAAAAAUCUCAUUUGUGUUUGUAUUACUAAACAUGAAGGCAAAGAAGCCAAGAUGUGGUAGACCAGUUCUCCCAUCUGUCAGCAUUGACAGAUGUUUAUCUCUGUUUUGCCCUGAAUGCUGCAUAAAUAUCUUGAUGAGGCUGACUUGCUGCCAGAGCAGGCAGAGCUGAUCCUGGCAUCCAGCAAACCACAUUGCUCCCAGCUAUUGCUUUGGCUUGGUGACCCUCACUACGCUACCCAGCUCCUUUGGGACAGGGAUUGUUCCAUAAGAUUGUCCCUUGCUCCUAGAAGGAAAUACAUUCUAAAUUGGUGUAAGAUUUCUGGUUUCCUUUCAGAGCAUUGUUAGCUUAGUGUGUUUUCUCCAAUCUAUUAGUAGCACAAAUGCCCUCUCCUUCAACAUUUAAAUUUUAUGAGAACUUCAUCCCUGCCAAAGUCAAAUAAGUGUUCAAAGGCGGCAAACCUUUCUUUCAUUUUUUCAUCCCCGUGAGGGAGAGCUCUUGGGAUGGGGUACAGAUUGGGGGACAAGGCCUUUUUUGUAUAGAAGUAAGACUUCAUUAUAUUGCCUGCGUUUGGAAAUAUCCGUGUGGCGUUCAAUUUCAUUCUUCACAUCCAACACUGGAGGUUUCUGGCACCUAGCAAUAAAGUUCUAGUAUUUCCUAAAGAUUGUUCGUAACUGCUUCUACGUUAUCUGAAUUACAGCUUAGAAAAUAAUAUACCAACUAACUCAUAUUGUAUUAAUAAAGGAAAUUCUCCUCCAAAUUCAAGUCAGUCUUACAAUGUCUAAACAGAAAAAGAAAUAUAAUGGAAUUCUUACUUCUAUCUUCUUCUACAAGAGUGGUUCCAGGUGAUGCUUUCUUGAGAAGAGUAAGCCAUUUCCACUUAACGACCAUUGAAACUAAAGCAAAUAUUUUGUUCUUUAUAAAGUUAUCUUAUAAAAAUUCCCAUUGGCAAUUUGAAGCAUUGCAGUUCAAUGAGGGAUUACAGAAGUCGUGCCUUUGGUUGUGUUUUUAAGUGGGGUAGAAUGGGGAUUCUUGCUGGUCUGCGUAUUUCCCUGUAUGUCCUAAGGUUAUAAGUACAGAGACAUUUACCUCGAAUACCUGGUUUUGGGAUUACAUCAUAAUCAGUUGGGAAACUUCAAAAAUAAUACAGAUUUGAAGAUAUCAGUCCCAGGGAUUUUCUUGUUCAAUUGAUUGGAGGCAAAACUUUACAAUUUGUGUUAUUCAUAAACCUCUUAUUCAAUUAUAAGUUAUGCUGUUUGGAAUCAGUUUUAAAUCCAUAAGCUACUUUAGUUACUUUUCUCAAUAAUGCUUUUUCAUGAAAAUGUAAAUAAUUAAAAAAUAACUUCAGAUGAUG